ACAAGUAAUUGGUUGUUUGGCCGAGCGGUCUAAGGCGCCUGAUUCUAGAAAUAUCUUGACCGCAGUUAACUGUGGGAAUACUCAGGUAUCGUAAGAUGCAAGAGUUCGAAUCUCUUAGCAACCAUUAUUUU
rnacentral:tRNA from 1 species